GGCUUUACAUCCGAGAAGAUACAAGCGAAAUUCGAUUAUUUUUAAAAUGUUUUUAAACAAUGUGUGUUUCUGUGAAAUAUUUAAAAAAUCCAACCCGUUUACCUUGGCAGAUUCCCGUCAUUUUGUCGUCAUUCUUCCUCUCCUUUUCACAAGUGGCAUAAUACAAAAACCCGAUUCUGUCACAAAAAUGACAGCGUCAUGUUUCUGUGGACUGUCUGUGCCUAAAGGACAAAAUGACCAUUUUAGAAAAAAAAAAUAAUCUAAAGGACAGAGCAGUAAAAAAAACUGUCUUAAAGGAUGUAUGGUCACGGUACCACGAGACAUUAGACAUAAAUUUCACAUUAUCAAACACAUUAUUUGGGCAUAAAUAUUCAGAUAAUGUCAAAUACGUAAUAUAAUUGUAUAGAAAAUAUUGUAUAUUCCAGUGUUUAUACAUACAGAUUCAUAUGAGCUGUGUGAGUACAAAAUUGCGACAUUGCAAUUCUCCUUCCGUAGAUCAUACACGCAUUGUUCCACCGAGAAGAAUUGGGAUGAUGAAAUAAAUCGUAUUAUAGAAAGAGCCAAAAACGAUUACUCUAGAGAAGAAAUAGAGGAUAUUACGUAAGGUAGAAGGGGUGGUCGUAAACAAAGUAAUUACGACUAUGAUAGUUUCGGUAGCACGACGUAUAUAUUGUACAGUCUGUUUAAUAAAGGUGUAGACAAUAACGGAAACGGUUCGGCUUUCGUGCAAUACGCC
rnacentral:lncRNA from 1 species